rnacentral:rRNA from 1 species
GUGGGGAAUCUUGCGCAAUGGGCGAAAGCCUGACGCAGCCAUGCCGCGUGAAUGAUGAAGGUCUUAGGAUUGUAAAAUUCUUUCACCGGGGACGAUAAUGACGGUACCCGGAGAAGAAGCUCCGGCUAACUUCGUGCCAGCAGCCGCGGUAAUACGAAGGGGGCUAGCGUUGCUCGGAAUUACUGGGCGUAAAGGGCGCGUAGGCGGACAGCUUAGUCAGAGGUGAAAGCCCAGGGCUCAACCUUGGAAUUGCCUUUGAUACUGGCUGUCUUGAGUUUGGGAGAGGUGAGUGGAACUCCGAGUGUAGAGGUGAAAUUCGUAGAUAUUCGGAAGAACACCAGUGGCGAAGGCGACUCACUGGCCCAAUACUGACGCUGAGGCGCGAAAGCGUGGGGAGCAAACAGGAUUAGAAACCCCGGUAGUC